GAUCAUGGCUCAGGACGAACGCUGGCGGCGUGCCUAAUACAUGCAAGUAGAACGCUGAAGAGAGGAGCUUGCUCUUCUUGGAUGAGUUGCGAACGGGUGAGUAACGCGUAGGUAACCUGCCUUGUAGCGGGGGAUAACUAUUGGAAACGAUAGCUAAUACCGCAUAACAAUGGGUGACACAUGUCAUUUAUUUGAAAGGGGCAAUUGUUCCACUACAAGAUGGACCUGCGUUGUAUUAG
rnacentral:rRNA from 1 species